GGGCCAGACUCCUACGGGAGGCAGCAGUGGGGAAUAUUGCACAAUGGGGGAAACCCUGAUGCAGCAACGCCGCGUGAGUGAGGAAGUAUUUCGGUAUGUAAAGCUCUAUCAGCAGGGAAUAGAAAAGAAGGUACCUGAAAAAGAAGCCCCGGCUAACUACGUGCCAGCAGCCGCGGUAAUACGUAGGGGGCAAGCGUUAUCCGGAUUUACUGGGUGUAAAGGGAGCGUAGGCGGGAGCGCAAGUCAGAUGUGAAAACUCAGGGCUCAACCCUGAGCCUGCAUUUGAAACUGUGUUUCUUGAGUGCUGGAGAGGCAAUCGGAAUUCCGUGUGUAGCGGUGAAAUGCGUAGAUAUACGGAGGAACACCAGUGGCGAAGGCGGCCUGCUGGACGACAACUGACGGUGAGGCGCGAAAGCGUGGGGAGCAAACAGGAUUAGAUACCCUUGUAGG
rnacentral:rRNA from 1 species